CAUGGCUGUUGUUUUCAUCUUCUCUGCUAAAAAAUUGGUAUUAAUAAACAACGGUAGGAAUUUCUCGCGUUAAAAGCCUAUAUAAUAGAAUACUUUAUAGAUUGAAUGAUCUGAACUGGUUGCGAGCGAGAGCGAAGAGUGAUCGAGAGUGUGGACGAGCGAAUGAGCGAGCGAACGGAAGUGCGUGAGCAAACGAGACGGAAGUGUGGGGGUAGAGGUAAUCCUGGUCUACCGCAAGCGGCUAGCAGACUGUAGAAGAAAAUUCGCCCGGCCCGCAUUACGUGCACGCGAUUCCCAUCGGAUAACGCACCAAUAGUAUGCCCCCCAUCGGAUAUAGUAGCAAACAGUGAGUUUUAGUGGCAUCGGUUGCACCCCCCGCCCGUACGUACGAACGCACGCACGCACGCAGGCACACGACGCAGGCACACACGCACACAGGCAGACGCGCCCGGGGUGAGUGACAAGCCGCGGUGGAGGAAUGGCGGUGGAUUUGGGAUAUAACGGGACGGUGCUGGUCGUGGAAGAGGAAGGCGACGAGGCGGUCGAAAUCCCGCUAGAGGAGGAUGGCACGCUGCUGCUAUCGACGCUGCAGGCCCAGUUCUACGGUGCCUGCGGGCUGAAGUACCGCAACCCGGACAACAAAGCGAUCCGGGGCGUGCGGCUGAACGACAACAAGCUGCACCCGUUCUCGCCCGACUCGGGCUGGGGCAACCAUGUGUACAUAUGCGUGUUCCCGAAGGAGAACAAGCGCAAGAGCGACGAUAAGCUGGAAAACUCGACGCCGAAGACGAAGCGCAUCGAGAGCCGGAACCGCACGACGACGGACCUGAUCGUGCUGGGGCUGCCGUGGAAGACGACCGAGGAGAGCUUGCGGGAGUACUUCGAAACGUUCGGCGAGCUGCUGGUGGUCCAGAUCAAGAAGGACUCGAAGACGGGCCAGUCCAAAGGGUACGGCUUUAUCCGGUUCGCCCGGUUCGAGAGCCAGAUGAAGGCACUGUCGAAGCGGCACCUGAUCGACAGCCGCUGGUGCGACGUGAAGGUGCCGAGCAGCAAGGACCAGACGCAGCACCAGAUGCCAAGCAAGAUAUUUUUAGGCCGCCUGACGGAGGACAUCAACUCGGACGACAUCCGGGACUACUUCAGCAAGUACGGCGAGGUGACGGACGUGUUCAUACCGAAGCCGUUCCGGGCGUUCGCGUUCGUCACGUUCAUCGAUCCGCACGUGGCGCAGAGCCUGUGCGGGGAGGACCACCUGAUCAAGGGUACGUCGGUGUACGUGUCGACGGCAUCGCCCCGGCCGGAGCACGGCCGGCACCACGGCAAGGGCCAGAUGGGGGGAAAUUUUUCCAACUACGAUGAGCGCGGGCGCGGCGGAGGGGGGAGCGGCGUUGGCGGCAGUAGCGGAGCGAACGACUACCAUCGGGGCGGGGGAGGAGGGGGAGGGGGAGGGGGAGGAGGAGGCGGUGGGCACGCGGUAGGCCCACACGUGCCGGCGCCCAACAGCAGCUACCAUCAUGGUAGCGGCGGUGGCAGCGAAGGAGCAGGCCCGGGAGGAUACAACAAUAUGCAGUCGGGAAACGGGGGUGGUUGUAGUCAGCAGCCGAUCUGGAACUACAAUGAAUACACCGCCCAGAAUCGGCAAAACAACAGCAAUAUCGAGUCGAUGCCGAACCUGCAAGCACUCGGGAUCAACUCGAGCGGCCCAAACGGGCAGCGCGGGGGAGGCGUCGGUGGGGGCCUGCACGGCGGGCACCACGCAGGGAUGGGGAACCAUCUGAGUGGAAGCGGCGGUGCCGGCGGAUCGGCACCGGGCGGUCCGGGGAGUAAUGGUGCGGGCGUGAUCGGUGCGCACGGCGGACCCGCGGCUGGUAACAUGAAUCUCUACCAGAUGCCAAUCAAUCCCGCUAUAAUCGCGGCCGCCCUGAGCCAGUGGAGCCUGAUCGGGAACCAGAUGCACAACACGGCCCAGGGUGCGGGCGGACCGGGCGGACCGGGCGGUCCGGGAGCACCCGGGCAGGCGAACGCAAACGUACCGGGCGGCCCUGCCGGUGGACCGCCGGGACCGGGUGGAGCGGCUGGUCCCGGGCCGGGCGCGUCCGAGCAGGAGUAUCUGUCCUGGAACGGCACGGGCAAUGGGGCACCGGGAGCCGGAGUACCGGCCGGGCGCGUCGAUCCAAACCGCCAGUGAACGGGGAACACAGUCGACACAGUCUUAGCAUAUUGCAAAAGCAAAGCACCACCACCCCUCCCAGCUACCAGCGAUCCAGCGACUGCAGACAACACCCCUCCCCGGUGUCUUCGAUCUCCCAAUGUAUCCAGCCGAAGUAGACAUAAGGUGAUGAUGAUGUGACGAGGAUGCUAGCGAAGUAGUGGGUUGAGCGAGAUUGAGAGAUAGAGAGAGAGAGAGAGUGGGAGAACGAGCGAGAAAGAGAGAGAGAGAGAGAGCGAAAGAACGAAAGCGCAUGCGAGAUCAGAUAUGACCGGGGGUAAGAGGGAUAGUAUGGAAGGAUAUGAUGGGUGUGAACAUGGAGGAUGUGAGUCGCUAGAUGAUGAUGAUGAUGAUGAAUGUGUGCUACGUGAGUUUAGCGUGAAUAGUAUGUAGAGAGUGCAUGAUGGAUGUGUGCCGUUUGGUGUGCCGCUCCUUCGAGCGCGUGUGUGUGUUUGUAAGCGUUUUUUCAAAGUAAACUUACUUUAUUUUCAUUAUCGUGUAACAAAGGAUGUUCGGUUCGUGGCUUUGCGAGUAAAUUCGGCUCGGCAUAUUUAAAUUGCGCGGCCCCGUUGUUCUUACCAUAGCAUACCAAACUACCGACCUGCCAGCGCAUCGCAAUGUGUUGCGUGCGAGGCAUUAACACAACAACUACAACAACCACAACAACAACAAAACAGAAAACAGAAACAAUAGUAGCAGCUCCCCACGAUGUGUGUGUGUGUACAGCUCGCCGGCGGCCAGAUGCUGCUAUGCGCAACAACCGCAUAACAUACGCGUGGCAGGUGUAUCGCCGUAACUGCUGCUGCUGCUCGUGUAUCUGUUCCUGCCGACAGACAGCCAACUAAUGAGGGGUAGAACUGCAGCAUAUGUAGCAUAAUCAACAUGAUCAUGCGUGUAUCUGUGCAAAAUGGGAAAAGGGUUGAGGAGGGGCAGGGAAAAGAUGUAAAACUCUAACACCUACCUAAGACUAGGGGCCGGUAAUUUCAGAUUGCUGUACACGAAAGCAUAAUUUAUCCCACGCGCAAUCCCGCGGGGUUGUAAAGCAUCUACUACUCGCCGGACUCAUCCUUCCAUCUUUUUUUGUUUUACUUUCUUGUGAACACGUGAAGCACAGCUGCAGUAAGCAUACGUGUCGUUAGGCUUUAAAAUGGUAUGUCUCGGGAGCGCGUGUGAAAGAUACACACUCACACAAACA